UACGUAGGGUGCAAGCGUUGUCCGGAAUUAUUGGGCGUAAAGAGCUCGUAGGCGGUCUGUCACGUCUGCUGUGAAAACUCGGGGCUUAACCCCGGGCCUGCAGUGGGUACGGGCAGACUAGAGUGCGGUAGGGGAGACUGGAAUUCCUGGUGUAGCGGUGAAAUGCGCAGAUAUCAGGAGGAACACCGGUGGCGAAGGCGGGUCUCUGGGCCGUAACUGACGCUGAGGCGCGAAAGCGUGGGGAGCGAACAGG
rnacentral:rRNA from 1 species